UGUUUUCAAGAUACUUUCUGCCUUUAUCCAAACAGGUGACAAGCGACUCAAAAGCAUUAUUUUAGCAGAAGCUGUGCGCCCUCUGACGUUCCAAGGUGAUCUGCGGCUCUUUGGCAGGAGCGGAAGCAACAGCUGUGUCAGAUACUUUGGUGACACAAGCACGGAUGGACAGGCGCCAGUUACAUCAAAGCGCUUCCUGGUAUUGAUGAAUGAAGUUUGGGACCACAGGGGCUUCGGUGAAGAGGCAGCCAAAAAGCAGACUAAUUUGUAGUGGGGCUGGAGCGGAUGUUGGGCAGCCUGGGAGAGCAGUGGCCGUUGUCCCUCGGGCUGGAGCCCUGAGGUGGGUUACAAAGUGCCCCCCAGAUGUAUUUUUGCGGCAGACAAUGAGGGAGUCAGUCCCUUUUGAGGAGAUCUGAGUUAGGGCAGCUGUGCGUUGUCGAGGCCUGCCUCAGUGUUGCCACGCCUCCGGGGAUAUGUUGGCACCCUGCUUUAGUGUAACGGCUUUUGCACCUGAGAAUGCUGCUAUCUUCUCCUCUGACCUUGGAGAGCUCUGUGUCCAGCAACGGUUUUGUUUUUGGGGAGGAGAGGUGGGGGAGGGAACUCACCCAGGCGUCUAUUCUUCGCUAUGCUCACUGCGCGUCAGUCCUGGCAACGGCCAGUUGUGUAAUCCUUCGCAGAUUCUCUGUCAAUAAACUCGUUAAAUUUCAUUAA